rnacentral:rRNA from 1 species
UACGAAGGGGGCUAGCGUUGCUCGGAAUCACUGGGCGUAAAGCGCACGUAGGCGGAUUGUUAAGUCGGGGGUGAAAUCCUGGAGCUCAACUCCAGAACUGCCUUCGAUACUGGCGAUCUUGAGUCCGGGAGAGGUGAGUGGAACUCCGAGUGUAGAGGUGAAAUUCGUAGAUAUUCGGAAGAACACCAGUGGCGAAGGCGGCUCACUGGCCCGGUACUGACGCUGAGGUGCGAAAGCGUGGGGAGCAAACAGC